UUCGUUGCUGCGCACAGGCUUUCUCUAGUUGCGGCGAGCGGGGGCUACUCUUCGUUGUGGUGCGCGGGCUUCUCACUGUGGUGGCUUCUCUUGUUGCGGAGCACGGGCUCUAGGCGCGUGGGCUUCAGUAGUUGUGGCACGUGGGCUCAGUAGUUGUGGCUCGGGGGCUCUAGAGCGCAGGCUCAGUAGUUGUGGCGCACGGGCUUAGUUGCUCCGCGGCAUGUGGGAUCUUCCCGGACCAGGGCUCGAACCCGUGUCCCCUGCGCUGGCAGGCGGAGUCUUAACCACUACGCCACCAGGGAGGUCCCAAAUGUUACUGUUUGAAACACUGUGUACAAAGGUGUUCUACCUUUGUUCUACCUCUAGCUAUUCAAACUAAUCUGACUUUCCAUUCUUUAACAGGAAGCAUGUAUGUGAUUCAUUUGCCAUAAAGAUACAUGUGUUGGCGAUCGCUGCUUGGGUUCAGCGUUUAUCGAGGGCUCACUCAGAGCAGAAUCCUGUGUUUGGCGGGCAGCAUGUCACUUGCGGAAGGAGAAGGAGAAAAGUGAUCUAGAAGUGGUGGCCUCGACUCAUCCCAAGAGUGGAAGCACCUGUAUCUGUGAGCAGUGGUCCAGGCGUUUCCCCAGGUAGAACUGGGGCGAAGAGGGCUGAAGAAUGUGCUCCGGAGAAGCCUGCAGGAGAUUAACCCCAUUACCCAAUCUUCCACGCAAGCAAAGAAGGCAGAAAUGACCUGGAGUUACAGAUUUCCAAAUAACCUUUAUAAACAGAAAAGGAUGAUCUCUGCAAACAUAUGUUACAACGGAAGUAAAGAUGGACAAAUGAUACCAAAAAUGGAAACCAACAAGUAAAUCCAGAGCAAAUACAGCGUGUUGUUUAUUCUCUUCCUUUUGGAUUGCUUUUCUGGGACUGUCUACUGGGAUCUGAAUAUACGGAUCAAUAAACAGAGUCACUAAUAUACGGACAACGAACUUUUUAGAGCAGAAGUCAGCAGAGGUCCUCCCCACCCCCAGGGAGCUGGGUGGUGUACAGAGGCAGCAUGGCUUAGAGGAGAGAAAGUGACUAUAACCUGAAUUCUAGUCUUUAUUCCCCACUUACCAUCAGUGAGACCUUAGACGAGUCACUUCCC